rnacentral:rRNA from 1 species
GACGAACGCUGGCGGCGUGCUUAACACAUGCAAGUCGAACGGAAAGGCCCUGCUUGCAGGGUACUCGAGUGGCGAACGGGUGAUUAACACGUGGGUGAUCUGCCCUGCACUUCGGGAUAAGCCUGGGAAACUGGGUCUAAUACCGGAUAGGAGCCAUUUUUAGUGUGAUGGUUGGAAAGUUUUUUCGGUGUAGGAUGAGCUCGCGGCCUAUCAGCUUGUUGGUGGGGUAAUGGCCUACCAAGGCGGCGACGGGUAGCCGGCCUGAGAGGGUGGACGGCCACAUUGGGACUGAGAUACGGCCCAGACUCCUACGGGAGGCAGCAGUGGGGAAUAUUGCACAAUGGGCGCAAGCCUGAUGCAGCGACGCCGCGUGGGGGAUGACGGCCUUCGGGUUGUAAACUCCUUUCGCUAGGGACGAAGCUUUUUGUGACGGUACCUAGAUAAGAAGCACCGGCUAACUACGUG